AGAGCGAACGCUGGCGGCAUGCUUAACACAUGCAAGUCGCACGGGCGGGGGCAACCCUGUCAGUGGCGGACGGGUGAGUAACGCGUAGGUAUCUAUCCUUGGGUGGGGGACAACUGUGGGAAACUACAGCUAAUACCGCAUGAUGACCGAGGUCCAAAGCUCGCGAGAGCGCCUGGGGAGGAGCCUGCGUACGAUUAGCUAGUUGGUGGGGUAAAGGCCUACCAAGGCGACGAUCGUUAGCUGGUCUGAGAGGAUGAUCAGCCACAUUGGGACUGAGACACGGCCCAAAACUCCUACGGGAGGCAGCAGUGGGGAAUAUUGGACAAUGGGCGAAAGCCUGAUCCAGCAAUGCCGCGUGUGUGAAGAAGGUCUUCGGAUUGUAAAGCACUUUCGACGGGGACGAUGAUGACGGUACCGUAGAAGAAGCCCCGGCUAACGUUCGUGCCAGCCAGCCGC
rnacentral:rRNA from 1 species